GCAGGGAAGCUCCCAGGCAACCGCCUCUUCCUGCCGUUUGAUUGGCUACAGGGUUGUCAUGGCAAAGGGGGUGGGCCAGGAAUAGAGGGGCAGCCUGGAUGUUUGUCUUCCCUGGGAACUGGAGGCUUUGAAUGCGAAAUCUGCUUUCUUUUAGGAAAUCCUGCUCAGAUGAAUUUGCCACUUUUACGGAGCCUUUCUAAAAGACCCAAUAAAUGGUGAAAGCAUUGUUAGUAAAAACAGCAACACUGAAUUUAUACACACACACACACACAAACAUAAAGGUAUCUUUAAUGUUUUUCCAUUGAAGAAAAAGUUUGUUGAUUCAAGUAAAAAAAAUACGGGUCUAAUUUUUCUCUGGUCUUCCUAUUUACAGCAACAGAAAGGAGAAGUUGUUCUCCCUGAAUGAGCAGCUCCUGCGUCAAAAUGCCCAGCUUGCGGAAAAGAACGCACAACUCUGCAGGGAGCUGGAGGAGAAGCAGAGGAGAAUAAAGAUUUUGGAACAGCAGAACCGCCAUCUCCACUGCAGGUUCUGCAGCAAGCUGGGGAGAAGCAGGAGCUCCUGGGGAGAACCAAGCGUUGCGGGAACAACUGGACAGUCUUCUAAAUUUACAGAAAAGAAACCGUCAUAGGGGAUAUGACAAAUGAGAGGAUGGACCUUCAGGGUAAAAUUGAGGGGCUUACGCUGGAGAAGGUCGCUUUGGCAGAGGAAAGGAGACAAUAAGAAAGGACUUCACGGAGCGACUGAGGAGGUGAGACACGGACUUUCUCAGACCAUCCAUGACAAAUGCACUCAUUU